GGUCAAGCUACUAAGGGCGUGUGGUGGAUGCCUUGGCGCAAGUAGGCGAUGAAGGACGUGGUCAGCUGCGAUAAGCCUCGGGAAAGAUGCUAUCGAUCUGUGAUCCGGGGAUGUCCGAAUGGGGAAACCCGGCGGGGUGAACGCCCGUCACCGUCACCUGAAUACAUAGGGUGCCGGAGCGAACCUGGGGAAGUGAGCCAUCUCAGUACCCAGAGGAAGAGAAAACAACCGUGAUUCCGGUAGUAGUGGCGAGCGAACCCGGAACAGCCUAAACCAGGCGAUUCGAAAGGAGAGCCUGGGGUUGCAGGGCCACAAUAUCAGGUGUCCGGCGUGGAAACACGACGGAGACCUGGUAAACGAGGGAUAGGAAAGUGUUAAUCGAACGGCAUGGAAAGGCCGGCCAUAGAGGGUGAUAGCCCCGUAGGUGAAAAUGCAAUCCUCCUUCAAGUGGUUCCUAAGUACCGCGGGACACGUGGAACCCUGCGGGAAUCUACCGGGACCAUCCGGUAAGGCUAAAUACUCACUUGCGACCGAUAGUGAACCAGUACCGUGAGGGAAAGGUGAAAAGAACCCCUGCGAGGGGAGUGAAAUAGUACCUGAAACCACACGCUUACAAGCAGUUGGAGGGCUAUACCGGCUUUUCGCAAGAAGAGCUGGGAUGCCUGACAUCGUGCCUAUUGCAUAAUGAGCCGGUUAGU
rnacentral:rRNA from 1 species